AGGGACCAUGCUGGGGGUAGAGUCGGACCAUGUGCUGGCUCUAGGGGCCCGGGGCCGUUCGCCAUCCAUCCACACUGGAGGGGAGACACCAGUGACUUGGAGGGGAUGGGGCAGCGGCCGGUAGCCGGCGGAGGGAGCAGAGAAGGAGUGGUGGAGUGGAGGAGUGGUGUAGAGGUGGUGUAAAGGUGGUGUAGAGGUGGUGUAGGCGGCCGCAUUCUGGAUGAGCUGCAGAGGUGGAGCGAUGUGGAGAGGUGGAGCGAUGUGGAGAGGUGGAGCGAUGUGUGGAGGGUGAGUGGCCCAUGCAGGUGGAGCAGCCCCAGAGGAGUUGCGGUGG
ensembl:lncRNA